UACGAAGGGGGCUAGCGUUGUUCGGAAUCACUGGGCGUAAAGCGCACGCAGGCGGAUUGAUAAGUCGGGGGUGAAAUCCCGGGGCUCAACCUCGGAAUUGCCUUCGAUACUGUCUGUCUUGAGUCCGGGAGAGAUGAGUGGAAUUCCUAGUGUAGCGGUGAAAUGCGCAGAUAUCAGGAGGAACACCAAUUGCGAAGGCAGCUCGCUGGGACGUUACUGACGCUGAGACGCGAAAGCGUGGGGAGCAAACAGG
rnacentral:rRNA from 1 species